rnacentral:Y_RNA from 1 species
GGCUGGUCUGAAGGUAGUGAGUUAUCUCACUUGACUGUUCAGUCAGUUACAGACUGAACUUGUUCUACUCUUUCCCCUCCUCACUACUACACUUGACUAGAAAA